rnacentral:rRNA from 1 species
AAGUGUGUUGUGAAAUGUAGACGCUCAACGUCUGAAUUGCAGCGCAUACUGGUUUCCUUGAGUACGCACAACGUUGGCGGAAUUCGUCGUGUAGCGGUGAAAUGCUUAGAUAUGACGAAGAACUCCGAUUGCGAAGGCAGCUGACGGGAGCGCAACUGACGCUUAAGCUCGAAGGUGCGGGUAUCAAACAGGAUUAGAUACCCUGGUAGUCCGCACAGUAAACGAUGGAUGCCCGCUGUUGGUACCUGGUAUCAGCGGCUAAGCGAAAGCAUUAAGCAUCCCACCUGGGGAGUACGCCGGCAACGGUGAAACUCAAAGGAAUUGACGGGGGCCCGCACAAGCGGAGGAACAUGUGGUUUAAUUCGAUGAUACGCGAGGAACCUUACCCGGGCUUGAAUUGCAGAGGAAGGAUUUAGAGAUAAUGACGCCCUUCGGGGUCUCUGUGAAGGUGCUGCAUGGUUGUCGUCAGCUCGUGUCGUGAG